UCUCUUCCUUGCCUUCUU
rnacentral:sRNA from 1 species